GACAGAGGGUGCAAACGUUGUUCGGAAUUACUGGGCGUAAAGCGCGUGUAGGCGGUCUCGCAAGUCGGAUGUGAAAGCCCAGGGCUCAACCCUGGAAGUGCACUCGAUACUGCGAGGCUAGAGUCCCGGAGAGGAUGGUGGAACUCUCGGUGUGAGGAGGUGAAAUUCGUAGAUAUCGAGAAGAACACCGGUGGCGAAGGCGGCCAGCGUGGACGUGACUGUACGCUGAGACACGAAAGCGUGGGGAG
rnacentral:rRNA from 1 species